CCUACGGGCGGCAGCAGUGAGGAAUAUUGGUCCAUGGGCUUACGCCUGAACCAGCCAAGUCGCGUGAGGGAAGACUGCCCUAUGGGUUGUAAACCUCUUUUGUCAGGGAGCAACGCCGGCUACGUGUAGCCGGACUGAGAGUACCUGAAGAAAAAGCAUCGGCUAACUCCGUGCCAGCAGCCGCGGUAAUACGGAGGAUGCGAGCGUUAUCCGGAUUUAUUGGGUUUAAAGGGUGCGUAGGCGGAAUGCCAAGUCAGCGGUAAAAUCGCGGGGCUCAACCUCGCUCCGCCGUUGAAACUGGCGGUCUUGAGUGGGCGAGAAGUAUGCGGAAUGCGUGGUGUAGCGGUGAAAUGCAUAGAUAUCACGCAGAACUCCGAUUGCGAAGGCAGCAUACCGGCGCCCAACUGACGCUGAAGCACGAAAGCGUGGGUAUCGAACAGGAUUAGAUACCCUAGUAGUC
rnacentral:rRNA from 1 species